rnacentral:rRNA from 1 species
AAUCAACGCUGGCGGCGUGCCUCAGACAUGCAAGUCGAACGAUUAAAGCUCUCUUCGGAGAGUGUGUAGAGUGGCGCACGGGUGAGUAACACGUAAGUAAUCUACCUUUGAGUGGGGAAUAACAGUCGGAAACGACUGCUAAUACCGCAUAAUGCAGCGGCAUCGCAAGAUGACAGUUGUUAAAGGAGCAAUCCGCUUAAAGAGGAGCUUGCGGCAGAUUAGCUAGUUGGUAAGGUAAUGGCUUACCAAGGCUACGAUCUGUAUCCGGUCUAAGAGGACGGUCGGACACACUGACACUGAAUAACGGGUCAGACUCCUAC